GUAGUCCACGCCGUAAACGAUGAUAACUAGCUGUCCGGGCACAUGGUGCUUGGGUGGCGCAGCUAACGCAUUAAGUUAUCCGCCUGGGGAGUACGGUCGCAAGAUUAAAACUCAAAGGAAUUGACGGGGGCCUGCACAAGCGGUGGAGCAUGUGGUUUAAUUCGAUGCAACGCGAAGAACCUUACCAGGUCUUGACAUCCAGAGAACUUUCCAGAGAUGGAUUGGUGCCUUCGGGAGCUCUGAGACAGGUGCUGCAUGGCUGUCGUCAGCUCGUGUUGUGAAAUGUUGGGUUAAGUCCCGUAACGAGCGCAACCCUUGUCCUUAGUUGCCAGCGAGUAAUGUCGGGAACUCUAAGGAGACUGCCGGUGACAAACCGGAGGAAGGUGGGGACGACGUCAAGUCAUCAUGGCCCUUACGACCUGGGCUACACACGUGCUACAAUGGCCGGUACAGACGGUUGCAAACCCGCGAGGGGGAGCCAAUCCGAGAAAACCGGUCGUAGUCCGGAUUGCAGUCUGCAACUCGACUGCAUGAAGUCGGAAUCGCUAGUAAUCGCGGAUCAGCAUGCCGCGGUGAAUA
rnacentral:rRNA from 1 species